AGGCCAUGGAUGUCAUAAUCUGGGUCAGUAUCCAGUGUUUUUCCGUCCUGGUUUUGCUUCUCUGCAUCUGGUUGCACACCUACACCUCUCCACCUGUCUUCCAUCUACAGUAAGCAGCAGGAUUGUACUUAAGACCAGCGUUGCCAUCGGUUCUUCACCAGUUCGUCAGCUACCUCGUGAUGCAGCCUCUUCAAUUCACGACUCUACUCACCCGCAACUCCGUUCUCUGGAUGCUAUUCUCCUCGGUAAAAUCCUCAGCUUCCUUCUGCAACUCUGUUCCCUGGACUUAUAACUGCUUACUGCACCUGCCUGCCUGCCUGUCUCCUGCCCGCUGACUUCUCUGGACUGCUAGAACACAAGAUCAGAACCCCACUCACUCCUCACUCAGCAACACAAGCCUUACCCCUCCACCUGCAAGUAAGCCGCAGAUCAGUAACCAACAUCUCUCCACUCCAGCUUCCCUUGCCAGAUUCUAACCAUACUUUACCUCUGUUUCGAUAUUUCCUUCCCAGAGAUUCCCCCUGCAAAAACUUUUUCGAACUUUCCACAAUGGAGCUUUUGCAGUUUGUGUUGUGCUGUUGUCUCGUGUUGUGGAAUUUUUACGUUUUUCUAAUGUGUUUGCUGUUCUGCAGGACAUAAAAGUUAAUCUAGGAUAAACUCAUCUUAACGGAGCCAGGCCACUGAAAUAUUAUUAAGUGGAAUAAAUAAACCUUCUCCCUGUAUCCUGUGCCUUACAUGCUUUACUG
ensembl:lncRNA